GCGAGUCAUUGUAGCAAUACAAGGCGGACGGCUCAGUAACACGUAGUCAACCUCACUCGUGGACGUGGAUAACCUCGGGAAACUGAGAAUAAACCACGAUAGAUCAUAGUGCCUGGAAUGGCUUAUGGUCCAAACAGUUUACUGCCAUGGGAUGGGACUGCGGCCUAUCAGCUUGUUGGUGAGGUAAUGGCCCACCAAGGCGAUUACAGGUACGGGCUCUGAGAGGAGAAGCCCGGAGAUGGGUACUGAGACACGGACCCAGGCCCUAUGGGGCGCAGCAGGCGAGAAACCUUAGCAAUGUGCGAAAGCACGACUGGGUCAGUCCGAGUGAUUCCUGAUAAAGGAGUCUUUUGCUUGUCCUAAAAGCACAGGUGAAUAAGGGGUGGGCAAGUCUGGUGUCAGCCGCCGCGGUAAUACCAGCACCUCGAGUGGUCAGGACGUUUAUUGGGCCUAAAGCAUCCGUAGCCGGCUCUGCAAGUCUUCGGUUAAAUCCACCUGCUCAACAAAUGGGCUGCUGGAGAUACUACAGAGCUAGGGAGUGGGAGAGGCAGACGGUAUUCAGUGGGUAGGGGUAAAAUCCUCUGAUCCAUUGAGGACCACCAGUGGCGAAGGCGGUC
rnacentral:rRNA from 1 species